AUUGAACGCUGGCGGAAUGCUUUACACAUGCAAGUCGAACGGCAGCACGGACUUCGGUCUGGUGGCGAGUGGCGAACGGGUGAGUAAUGUAUCGGAACGUGCCCAGUCGUGGGGGAUAACGUAGUGAAAAUUACGCUAAUACCGCAUACGAUCUAUGGAUGAAAGCGGGGGAUCGCAAGACCUCGCGCGAUUGGAGCGGCCGAUAUCAGAUUAGGUAGUUGGUGGGGUAAAGGCCCACCAAGCCAACGAUCUGUAGCUGGUCUGAGAGGACGACCGGCCACACUGGAACUGAGACACGGUCCAGACUCCUACGGGAGGCAGCAGUGGGGAAUGUUGGACAAUGGGCGAAAGCCUGAUCCAGCCAUUCCGCGUGCAGGAUGAAGGGCCUCGGGUUGUAAACUGCUUUUGUACAGAACGAAAAGGUUUCUACUAAUACUAGGAGCUCAUGACGGUACUGUAAGAAUAAGCACCGGCUAACUACGUGCCAGCAGCCGCGGUAA
rnacentral:rRNA from 1 species